rnacentral:rRNA from 1 species
GAUGAACGCUGGCGGCGUGCCUAAUACAUGCAAGUCGAGCGAAGCGGGGACGGGUGAGUAACACGUGGAAAACCUCCUAUCAGACUGGGAGACCUUAGGGAAAGCGGAGAUAAAACGGAAACUUAUCGAUGGGUCCGCGCUGCAUUAGCUAGUUGGUAAGGUAACGGCUCACCAAGGCAACGAUGCAUCGCCGGCCUGCGAGGGUGAUCGGCCACUCUGGAACUGAGAGACGGUCCAUACUCCUACGGGAGGCAGCAGUAGGGAAUCUUCCGCAAUGGGCGAAAGCCUGACGGAGCAACGCCGCGUGAGUGAUGAAGGUCUUCGGAUUGUAAAACACUUUUAUUAGGGAGGCGGUACCUAAUCAGAAAGCAACGGCUAACUCCGUGCCAGCCGCCGCGGUAAUUC